rnacentral:RNase_P_RNA from 1 species
CGUGCGGGCAGGACCGCCGCGGGGGGCGACCUCCGAGGAAAGUCCGGGCUCCACAGGGCAGGGUGGCGGGUAACGCCCGCCGGGCGCAAGCCCAGGGACAGCGCAACAGAGAGCACACCGCCGAUGGCCCGCGAGGGAUCAGGCAAGGGUGAAACGGUGGGGUAAGAGCCCACCGCGAGGGCGGCAACGUCCUCGGCACGGCAAGCCCCACCCGGAGAAAGGCCACAUAGAGGAGGACGGGGGCCCGCAAGGGCUCCCACGGCGCGGCCCGCGCCGUCCAACUCCCGGGUAGGCCGUUCGAGCCCGCCGGCGACGGCGGGUCUAGACCGAUGGCGGUCACCGGUCCGAAAGGACCGGGACAGAACCCGGCUUACGGCCCGCACGGACA